UCUAACCUGCCCACUGAAUUUUUUUUUAAAUGGCCGCAGUAUCCUAACUGUGCAAAGGUAGCAUAAUCAUUAGUCUUUUAAUUGAAGGCUGGAAUGAAUGGUUGGAUGAAAUAUUAACUGUUUCAUAAAAAUUUAUAAUAGAAUUUUAUUUUUUAGUCAAAAAGCUAAAAUUUAAUUAAAAGACGAGAAGACCCUAUAAAUCUUUAUAUUAAUGAAAUUACAAUUAUUUAGAUAAUUUAAAUUUUAAUUUCUUUUAAUAUUUUAUUGGGGUGAUAUUAAAAUUUAAUAAACUUUUAAUUUAUAAUUAACAUAAAUUAAUGAAUUUUUGAUCCAUUUAUAAUGAUUAAAAAAUUAAGUUACUUUAGGGAUAACAGCGUAAUUUUUUUAGAGAGUUCAUAUUGAUAAAAAAGAUUGCGACCUCGAUGUUGGAUUAAGAUACAGUUUUAGGUGCAGCAGCUUAAACUUAAAGUCUGUUCGACUUUUAAAUUCU
rnacentral:rRNA from 1 species